GUAUAACCAUUUCUCAGCCAAAACACGCAGUUGAAGUAACACUAAUUGGCCAUUGAUCCACUUACAAAAAUGCCUCGUCACAAUCCUUUAAAAAGUAAAUUACGACUGUAGAUUUAUUCAACUCGUCUCUCCGAAAUCCAAGAAAUCUUAAAUAGGUUAAGAUAGGUGAAAAUUAAAACCACUACCUAUUUAUAACAGGCGAUUAUUUUUUGUCAAUGCAAUUGUAAUGAAACAUCUUUCGAGUUCAGUUGUGGUGAUAAAUCUGGGAACAAGCGAAAAUUCAGAAAUUUCAAUAAAAAGUUCACACAGUCAGUCAGUCAGUCACCUACCAAAAAAAAAGAUAAAAAUACGUAGUCAAAAUGAUGUCCAGACAACUGAUACUAAUCUUCUUGCUGGCUACAUCAUUAGCCAGUGUUUCUGCCAGACUAUGUUACGUUGGAAACCAUUCUCACCACACUUGUCAAGAUCACUGCCCUCGACUAUGCCAAAAACAACAAUAUGCACGUUACAGCUGCGAACCAGAAGAACGAGGGCACGGGCAGGGGCAGAUGUCGUGGAGGUGGUGCUGCAAUUGUUUCAAUUAAUAAGUUAUGGUACACAUACUUUGAUACAAUUAGGUACCUAUGUUUAGGCAUGUAAUAUACCUUUUUCAAUAAUUAAAAACAUUUAGCAGUUGAUUUAAUUACAAAACCUCGACGCUAAAAAAAAAUCACUCUCCCAAGAAUGUACCCUACCUUUACAAAUUCAUUGUGACAAUGUUCGGUCGAAUUAAUCGUAAAAUUAUUACACCAUCGCGCCUCCAUAACUUCUACGUGUACAUUAUAAGACCUGACGUGUUUGAAAUUUAAUGUCAAUUCUCAAUUCCGUCAAAUUCGAAACGAUGAAAGUAACAUUGGACCCCACCAUUAUUAAUACCUGCGAGGCGUGGCAUCAAUCAAACGAUAAUUUAAUCCAGAACACGUUGAUUUCUAUCACCCUCGUUCUCGUUUAAGAUUCGCAAUUAAUUAGGUGCAUACGUAAAUGUAAAAUUUGCGAUAUUCGAUAACUUGUAAAAUUCCAUCUUGAUAUUAGAUUUCCAACACCACAACAGAUGGAAGCACCUAAUGCAUUGUACGUCCUGUAUCCGACCUCAAGCAAGGCAAAGAAACAACGAGGGGGAAAACUACGACUGCGUUGUUUGUAGAAUAAAUAAUACCUACACACCUACCUAAAACCCAUUCAUAACAAUCGUUUAAAUUUGUUCACGUUUUAAAUUCGACAAUUAGAAUGUUUGUUGUUGU